AAAAGUCAAAAUAUUGACUUUUGACUAAGAAAAGUCAAAGUUUGACUUUUGACUAAGAAAAGUCAAAGUUUGACUUUUGACUAGAAAUAUCUAAUGACCAUUUUACCCUUGGACUAAGUUAGUGGGAAAAUCCAACAUUUUGUUGGAUAAUCCCACUAACUCUUAGUGGGAUAUGUGGCUAUAUGAGAUAUAGACACCUAGCCCACUAAGUUCCACUAAUUGUUAGUGGAACAUUAGGUGUUGAGAUUUGGCAAAUGAAUUGCAUGCAUUUUUGCAUGUAAUUAGGUUAUAAAUAGAGGUGUUUUCAAAUGUUGAAGGACUUUUGCCUCUUUUAUCAUUUUCAUCAUCUCAACAAAAGAAAAAAGAAAGCUUCCAAUCUCAUUUUAUCUCCAUUACUUUCUACACCAAAAUUGGGUCUCACAACCCGGUUCUUUGUCUAGAGGAUAGCAGUUGAGUACUAGUGGUGGUCUCGGUUAGAAUUGGUAAGAAUAUAUCGAACCUUUUGAAAGCUUCAAAGGUAAUAUUUCUUAAAACCCUAAUUUGAUUAGUUUAUGGUUAUAUGUUAAUUGUGGCAAUUAGGGUAGAAAUUCAAUUCUUUUUCCGCUGUGCAUGACUUAGUUCUAUCACGUUCGCCUUUUGUGGGCAAGAAACUUCGAGAUCACUCAGAAUCGGACCACGCAGUAGUUAGAUGUGAACUUUCGAGGCCUCUGACUCCGUUCUAUGUCCGACUGUUCCUUUCUAGGCCACCAUUGUGCCUUUCUUCGGCGUUUUGGGACGAAACCAAGAAACCGAGUCUGGGGCAUCACCGUUCGCCUUUUGUGGGCAAGAAACUUGGAGAUCACUCAGAAUCGGACCACCCAUGAGUUAGAUGUGAACUUUCGAGUCCUCCAACCCCGUUCUAAGUCCGACCGUUCCUUUCCUUUCUAGGCAACCAUUGGGCCUUUCUUCGACGUUUUGGGACAGAACCAAGAAACCGAGUCUGAGGCAUCACCCUUCGGCUUUUGUGGGUAAGAAACUUCGAGAUCACUCAGAAUCUGACCACCCAGUAGUUAGAUGUGAACUUUCGAGGCCUCCGACCCCGUUCUAAGUCCGGCCGUUCCUUUCUAGGCCACCAUUGUGCCUUUCUUCGGCGUUUUGGGACGGAACCAAGAAACCGAGUUUGGGGCAUCACCGUUCGCAUUUUGUGGGCAAGAAACUUCGAGAUAACUCAGAAUCGGACCACCUAGUAGUUAGAUGUGAACUUUCGAGGGCUCCACCCCGUUCUAAGUCCGGCCGUUCCUUUCAUUUCUAGGCCACCAUUGUGCCUUUCUUCGGCGUUUUGGGACGGAACCAAGAAACCGAGUCUGGGGCAUCACCGUUCGCAUUUUGUGGGCAAGAAACUUCGAGAUAACUCAGAAUCGGACCACCCAGUAGUUAGAUGUGAACUUUCGAGGGCUCCACCCCGUUCUAAGUCCGGCCGUUCCUUUCCUUUCUAGGCCACCAUUGUGCCUUUCUUCGGCGUUUUGGGACGGAACCAAGAAACCGAGUUCGGGGCAUCACCGUUCGCAUUUUGUGGGCAAGAAACUUCGAGAUAACUCAGAAUCGGACGACCCAGUAGUUAGAUGUGAACUUUCGAGGGCUCCACCCCGUUCUAAGUUCGGCCGUUCCUUUCCUUUCUAGGCCACCAUUGUUCCUUUCUUCGGCGUUUUGGGACGUAACCAAGAAACCGAGUCUGGGGCAUCACCGUUCAGCUUUUAUGGACAAGAAACUUCGAGAUCACUCAGAAUCGGACCACCCAGUAGUUAGAUGUCACAGAACCAUCUAUUGAUGCACCUAGAGAUCCAUUAUACAAGUCUGAAAAGGAGGUUCUUAAGGUAAGGUUGGACUUAAGAAUUUGAUGAUUGUUCACUCUAUUUUUCUAUUUCUAGUGAAAGUGAUGAUAAUUUAAUGGACUAUUCGAUUUCUUUGUAAAUCCGAGUAUAGGUUUCGCUGCGAUACGUUAGAAUAGAAGUAACUAGCAUAUACAUACAAAGUGACGUUCAUUGACUCAACGACGUUUGAAAUUUAAGAAUAUUAUGGCUGUUGGAGCAUCCAUUGAAGGAUGGAAAUAUUGUAGACCCAACAUAUCGGUUGACGACACUUUUUUGAAAUCUAAAUAUGGUGGAACUCUUUUGACGGCUUCAACAAUUGAUGGUAAUAAUCAAAUUUUUCCAUUGGCCUUCAGUAUUGUAGAUUCCGAAAAUGAUGAAUCCUGGAGAUGGUUUUUUGAGAAUAUAAAGAAAAGUUUAGGGGAUCGGGAAGGUUUAGUUGUAAUAUCUGAUCGACAUUUAAGUAUUCCAAAAAGUGUUCAUAACGUUUUUCCAAAUGCUGAAUAUUGUGUUUGUUUGCAACAGCUUCUAAAAAGUUUGAAGUUGAUGUAUAAGGACCCUAUAAUUGAUAAGCUCUUUUUUAGAUGUGGAAAAGCAUAUACUGUUGUUGAUUUUGAGACUAAUAUGAAAUGGAUGGAGUCUAUGUAUCCUAGUAUACGAGACUAUCUUAGUAAGGUUGGUUUUGAAAAGUGGGCUCGAGUAUAUUUUACAAAGAAAAGAUAUCAAAUGAUGACUACAAACAUUUCAGAAAGCUUAAAUUCAGUUCUAAAAGAAUCUAGAGAUUUGCCUGUUGCAACAUUACUCGAUUCUAUCAGGCAAAUACUUCAAAAUUGGUUUUAUGAUCGAAGAAAAGUUGCAUGUUGUAUGAGAACUAUUUUAACUAGUUGGGCUGAGGGAGAAUUACGUAUGCAACAUCAAAACUCAAGAAGCUUCACAGUAAGUUUUUGUGUUUUAAUGUUUAUUUACUUAAUUAGUGAGUAAUAUAACAAGACCUAUCAAUGAUAGAUUUUAUCACCGAUAGAUUCUUAUUAUGCAUCAGUGAUAGAUUCUAUCAAUGAUAGAUCAUAUGUGUUGACUAAGUUUGUUCUUUUUUUCUUUUCAGGUUAAUGCUAUUAAUGAUGUUGAAUUUCAAGUGAUUGAUGGAAGAAAACAAUUUAUGGUACAUUUAAAUUGCAAAUCAUGUACCUGUCGCGUUUGGGAUCUUGAUGAAAUUCCAUGCGCUCAUGCACUUGCUGUUCUUCGUGGAUGCAAUAUGAAUACUUACUCUUUUGUUUCCAAUUAUUUUUUGUCAAGCACUUUGGUUUUAGCUUAUACUGGAUUAGUUCGUCCAGUUGGGAACCAUUCUAAUUAGAAAUCUAUUGGGGUUGACAUGAACAUACUUCCUCUAGUUUUCAAGAGUCGAGCUGGAUGACCACGAAAACAGAGAACAUUAUCAAUUGGCGAGAAGAAAAGUCAACCAAAAUGCAAUCAUUGUCGUCGUGCUGGUCACAAUCGUAGAAAUUGCAAAUUUUCACCAUUUUUACAAUGAUAUGACAUU
rnacentral:lncRNA from 1 species